rnacentral:rRNA from 1 species
GACGAACGCUGGCGGCGUGCUUAACACAUGCAAGUCGAACGGAAAGGCCCUGCUUUUGUGGGGUGCUCGAGUGGCGAACGGGUGAGUAACACGUGAGUAACCUGCCCUUGACUUUGGGAUAACUUCAGGAAACUGGGGCUAAUACCGGAUAGGAGCUCCUGCUGCAUGGUGGGGGUUGGAACGUUUCGGCGGUUGGGGAUGGACUCGCGGCUUAUCAGCUUGUUGGUGGGGUAGUGGCUUACCAAGGCUUUGACGGGUAGCCGGCCUGAGAGGGUGACCGGCCACAUGGGGACUGAGAUACGGACCAGACUCCUACGGGAGGCAGCAGUGGGGAAUAUUGCACAAUGGGCGGAAGCCUGAUGCAGCAACGCCGCGUGCGGGAUGACGGCCUUCGGGUUGUAAACCGCUUUCGCCUGUGACGAAGCGUGAGUGACGGUAAUGGGUAAAGAAGCACCGGCUAACUACGUG